UACGUAGGGUGCAGGCGUUAAUCGGAAUUACUGGGCGUAAAGCGUGCGCAGGCGGUCUGCUAAGAGAGAUGUGAAAUCCCCGGGCUUAACCUGGGAACUGCGUUUCUAACUGGCAGGCUUGAGUGUGGCAGAGGGGGGUGGAAUUCCACGUGUAGCAGUGAAAUGCGUAGAGAUGUGGAGGAACACCGAUGGCGAAGGCAGCCCCCUGGGCUAACACUGACGCUCAUGCACGAAAGCGUGGGGAGCGAACCGG
rnacentral:rRNA from 1 species